GCGUAGCUCAGUUGGAUAGAGCGUCUGACUACGGAUCAGAAGGCCGUGGGUUCGAAUCCUGUCGC
rnacentral:tRNA from 1 species